rnacentral:misc_RNA from 1 species
GCGGAACUCUCCGACAUACCCCAGCUUCUCCCACCAACUCCUUUCUCAUUCUUUCUUUCUUACACGCUUCAAAUUUUACCCUUUUCCUUGCAAGAUUAUUCCUCAUCAAACACAUUAAGCAAAUCAAUCUUAGUUACGCCGAAGAACAAUGGCAGGAUCAAAUUUCCAGAUUUUAAAGUCAAGAGCCUUUGAUGAGAAUGAUAUGUUAAUGGGUGCCUUGCUUUCUCAAAAAUCCGGUACUGAUCUUAUGCAGAAUUGUGAUCUGCCUCCACCAUUGAAGGUGUUUUCUGGGUCAGAUAAGACUGUCAUCUCACCGACGAACAGGUUUUCGGGGAUUAUGGGUAGAGAAGAAGAUAACAAUGGUUUUGAUAUUUAUGGAAGUGAGAAUGAGAAGUUGGAGCUUUUCAAGGCAUUGAGAUUGUCACAGACAAGGGCAAGAGAAGCAGAAAGGAAAGCUGCAAGUUUGAUUAAGGAGAGGGAUUGUAUUUCCAAUGCUUUGUUGCGAGAGUCCAUGCAGCUAUUUGCCUAUCGUCAGUGGGUGAAGUUGCUUGAAGUUCAAGUCUUCAAGUUGCAAUCAGAAAGGCAACGACAAGAAAAGAAAUGGCAGUGUAGCUGUGGAAGAUCAGAGAGGGUGAAGGAAUUGUUUAACGAGGGAAAGGAUUGUGAGGAUGGUGGUGGUGGUGGUGGUGUUGGUGGUGGUGGAAUCGCCGGGCUUCACCUCCGCCAUUCGAAUUACCUUACGAUCUCCUCUUCUCUUCAGCUCUCAUUCUUCUCUUCGCUGAGCCUUUUGUGCGUUUCUUCUCCUUAAUUUUUUUUCUACUUUUUUUUUUCUGUGACUUGUAGACAUGAAAAUCUCAUCUGGGUGUUAGUUGGUUUCUGUUCCGAUGAGGCAAGGAGGUGAACAUUUUGAGGAAUUGUAAUCUGUGCCUGUUUCAUUUAAUUUUGCUUUUUCAGGAUGCUUUUUGUUUGUGUUGAAAUAUGAUAUUAGUUAUGGAUUCAGGUUAUGGGCCAUGGCAGGUAGUUAUUAUCAUUAUAUUUCUAUCAACUAUUUGGAACAUUUCAUUUGUUAGAAUUAAAAUUAAAAUGAAUGCAACGGUUGAUUAUCCUAUUUAUCAUUAUUUGUUUAUUUAUUUUUCUUUGGGUCGUCUGAAUUUGGUGCUAUUUGUGGAUUGAAGUUUUGUGAUAAAAGUAGGUUUUGAUGCUCUUGAUUAUUCUCAGAAAUGUGUUUUUUCCCCUAUUAGGCUUAAAGAAAUGGUUUCAGAUAUCGGAAGCUAAAAAAUUUUUUGCAGGUUUGACAUUGAUUUUUGUCAUUUCUGAUUCUUUCCUCAUAAAUUGGUCCACCUAAUCUUGAUGCUAAAACUGCCAUUGAUUACUCUUAUUCAAUAUGACAACAAACUCAUCAUAAAAUUUUUCUUUUAUGUAGCAUAUGGUGAAAAGUGAUCCAUAUAGUUGAAACCAACUAUUUUGCAAUUAAGGCUUAGCUAUUGUUGUUGUUGUUUAUAGAAUGGUUAUAAAUGCACUUCAGAAGAGUAUUGAAAGUUUCCUUUAGUUGAUUUAUACUUUAUAUAAUUUGGAUGUUAGGGAUGUCGAUUUCAUCGAGUCAUCAAAGGUUUUAUGGUGCAAGGUGGGGAUAUCUCAGCAGGAGAUGGUACCGGUGGUGAAUCUAUUUAUGGCUUGAAAUUUGACGAUGAGAAUUUUGAACUGAAACAUGAAAGGAAAGGCAUGCUAUCUGUGGCCAAUGCU